rnacentral:rRNA from 1 species
UACCCGCUGAACUUAAGCAUAUCAGUAAGCGGAGGAAAAGAAACUAACAAGGAUUCCCUCAGUAAUGGCGAAUGAACAGGGAAAAGCUCAAGUAAAAAUCCAGCAAUGGAAUUGUAAUCUAAAGGCCUUUUAGGGAUGCUGGGCUCUCGCAUAAGUUCCUUGAAAAAGGGCGUCAUAGAGGGUAAAAACCCCGUGUUUGGCGAAGGGCAUCGGCGUACCGAAGGGUUCUUAGAGUCGGGUUGUUCGGGAUUGCAGCCCUAAAUGGGAGAUAAACUUCUUCUAAGGCUAAAUAUGGAUGGGAAACCGAUAGCAAACAAGUACUGUGAAGGAAAGAUGAAAAGAACUUUGAAAAGAGGGUUAAAAGACUUGAAAUCGUUGAGAAGAAAAGCGGUAAAAGAGAAAUGGUUCCGGCGUGGUAUUAUAGGCGUGAUUAGGGCCCUGCCUGGGUUAGGUAGUACCGGCUUGGGUAUCGGUCACCUGCUCUGCCAUUUUUACUGCGUCGGAGUGCAAAAUGAGGCUUGAUUGCAGGAAAUAUCCGUGAACAGACCCUGUCCUUGAUGAUAGGAGGUCACGAGACGCACUGCAAACUAGCCUGAGGGUCCUUAUGGAGAUUUUGCAAAAAAGGCUUUUACCGACCCGUCUUGAAACACGGACCAAGGAGUCUACCCAAUAUGCGAGUUUUAGGGUGGAAAAACCCGAAAGCGCAACGAAAGUGACCUUAAGAUGCCAACCCUGUUGAGGGGUGCAGCACCAACCAACCCUGGCUUUCGAAGCCUAGGAUUGAGUAAAAGCAUAUUUGGUAGGACCCGAAAGAUGGUGAACUACGCUUGAGUAGGGUGAAGCCAGGGGAAACUCUGGUGGAGGCUCGAAGCGUUACUGACGUGCAAAUCGUUCGUCAAACUUGAGUGUAGGGGCGAAAGACUAAUCGAACCAUCUAGUAGCUGGUUCCCUCUGAAGUUUCUCUCAGGAUAGCUGGAACAGAAACGCAGUUUUAUUAGGUAAAGCGAAUGAUUAGAGGAUUCUGGGUUCAAAGAGCCUAGACCUAUUCUCAAACUUUAAAUUGGUAAGAACCAGCAGUUUCUUAAUUGAACUGUUGGGCAGAAUGCGGUGUUCCAAGUGGGCCAUUUUUGGUAAGCAGAACUGGCGAUGAGGGAUGAUCCUAACGCCGAGCUAAGGUGCCCAAAUCCACGCUCAUCAGAUACCAUAAAAGGUGUUGGUUCAUAUAAACAGCAGGACGGUGGCCC